UCAUAAUUCUCUCAUUUUCUGGUGUGGAGAGUAGCAGAAAGUUCGAAAUGAUUUGAAUAGCUGAGACUAUUACGUACUCUGGAGAUAUAGCAAAUGCUUCGAAAGGAUGUGUCAUGGUCAUUCAGGAGCUGUUUUGGUGAAGCAUGAAGGUAUUUAGAGUCAAUAUGAGGCUUCCUCAAAUCAUUCAGGAGCUGUUUUGCUGAAGCAUGAACGUAUUUAGAGUCAAUAUGAGGCUUCCUCAAAUCUAAGAACUGCUAUUAUAGACGAAAAUUGUCAGGCUGGAGGAGUUUAAACUUCAAAUCGUUUCAAGGAUGGGAUUCAGACAAACUUUUGUAGCUCCCAGCAACUGGCUAGUGUAAAAUUUUAGUAUUGAUUUUGGAGGUGUUCAUGAGAUUAGAUGACAGGAGAUAUUGAGAUGUUAGAUUAUGUUAUCUGUACAGGUGUUUCUGUAGGUAUGUACAAGUGUUUUGGAGUUGCCAUUUACUAGUAACAGUUCAUUGCAAGUGCAACACUAAAAUUCUUGGCAUAGUAAGCAUGACGUAAUGUAAGCCUAGGUUCCAAAAAAUAGAUGUUGCAAUCAGCCUUGUUUGAUCUCUCGCUGCAUGCUUUCUUCUUGUGCCAAGUGUUCCUUUUUUCUUAUUUAACAUCACAUUUUGCUUUUUAUUUGAUCCCUUCACACUUUAUAGCUA
rnacentral:lncRNA from 1 species